GCGGCAGGCCUAACACAUGCAAGUCGAGCGGUAGCACAGAGAGCUUGCUCUCGGGUGACGAGUGGCGGAUGGGUGAUUAAUGUCUGGGAAACUGCCCGAUGGAGGGGGAUAACUACUGGAAACGGUAGCUAAUACCGCAUAAUGUCGCAGAACCAAAGAGGGGGACCUUCCGGCCUCUUGCCAUCGGAUGUGCCCAGAUGGGAUUAGCUGGUGGGUGGGGUAACGGCUCACCUAAGCAACGAUCCCUAGCUGGUCUGAGAGGAUGACCACCCACACUGUAACUGACACACGGUCCACACUCCUACGGGAGGCAUCAGUGGGGAAUAUUGCACAAUGGGCGCAAGCCUGAUGCAUCCCUGCCGCGUGUAUGAAGAAUGCCUUCUGGUUGUAAAGUUCUUUCAGCGAGGAGGAAGGUGUUGUGGUUAAUAACCGCAUUGAUUGACGUUACUCACAAAAGAAGCACCGGCUAACUCCGUGCCACCAGCCGCGGUAAUACGGAGGGUGCAAGCGUUAAUCGGAAUUACUGGGCGUAAAGCGCACGCAGGCGGUCUGUCUAGUCGGAUGUGAAAUCCCCGGGCUCUACCUGGGAACUGCAUCAGAAACUGGCAGGCUAUAGUCUUGUAGAGGGGGGUAUAAUUCCAGGUGUAGCGGUGAAAUGCGUAGAGAUCUGGAGGAAUACCGGUGGCGAAGGCGGCCCCCUGGACAAAGACUGACGCUUUGGUGCGAAAUCGUGGGGAGCAAAUAGGAUUAUAUACCUUGGUCGUCCACGCUGUAAACGAUGUCUACUUGGAGGUUGUGCCCUUGAGGCGUGGCUUCCGGAGCUAACGCGUUAAGUCGACCGCCUGGGGAGUACGGCCGCAAGGUUAAAACUCAAAUGAAUUGACGGGGCCCGCACAAGCGGUGGAGCAUGUGGUUUAAUUCGAUGCAACGCGA
rnacentral:rRNA from 1 species